rnacentral:tRNA from 1 species
GGGCCCGUCGUCUAGCCUGGCUAGGAUGCGGGGUACGGAGCAGAAGGUCCCGCUGGAGGGCGGGAGGCUCCGCCCGACUCGGGACCCCGUGGUCCGGGGUUCAAAUCCCCGCGGGCCCA